UAGGGAAUAUUGCGCAAUGGGCGAAAGCCUGACGCAGCAACGCCGCGUGAAGGAUGAAGGCCUUCGGGUCGUAAACUUCUGUCAAAUGGGAAGAAGGUUUGUAGGUUAAGAGCUAGUGAACUUGACGGUACCUGCAGAAGAAGAUGCGGCCAACUACGUGCCAGCAGCCGCGGUGACACGUAGGCAUCAAGCGUUAUCCGGAUUUAUUGGGCGUAAAGAGCUCGUAGGCGGUUCGGUAAGUCGGGUGUGAAAACUCUGGGCUCAACCCAGAGAGGCCACUCGAUACUGCUGUGACUAGAGUGCGGUAGGGGAGCGGGGAAUUCCUGGUGUAGCGGUGAAAUGCGCAGAUAUCAGGAGGAACACCAGUGGCGAAGGCGCCGCUCUGGGCCGUAACUGACGCUGAGGAGCGAAAGCAUGGGUAGCAAACAGGAUUAGAUACCCUGGUAGUCCACACCGUAAAACGAUGAGCACUCGGUGCCGCGGGUAUCGACCCCUGCGGU
rnacentral:rRNA from 1 species